rnacentral:lncRNA from 1 species
AAAAGCUCCCUGAGCCCGACCAACAAUGGGAUCUUCCUCUGAGGUUCACGCUACUCCUUGUCCAGACUGAUCCCGGAGAGGAGAACAAGCCUCCGAGCACGUGCUCGUCAACUCCAUGCCGGCCGCUCCAAGCGCCCCUGCUUCGUGUCUUCAAGGCAGGCGCCGAGAUAGCCUUUGCAGCGAGCUGUGGUGUGUGGACUCUGCGGCGAGAUGGGAUUCAGAAUCCUUUUCCGUGGUGAGAUAACCCUGCCACCACUCAUAUGCCAUUGCAUAUAAGUGAAUCUGUUUUAUAGAAAUCAAUCUUGCACGGUGGUUAGCUCCGUAAUUUAUUUUAUUCCGUAGCAGACUGAGGUUCUCACAGCCUAUUUGCUGGAAUGCCAACGAGGAGUCAAUUUUCCAUCUCCACAAAUAUUCUUGGUCUCUUCAAAUUAACUGCUUCUUAAUCCAACUACCAUUUUUCAAGAUUAGUUCAUUUAUAUAAUAUUUAUUUUUGUACCAGUGUUGAUCAAGUAGGUUAUUAUUGUGAGGAAUCAGCAGUAGGAUGCACAUGUAUUUGUUUCUUGCCACUGGUUGCAAAAGCCUAAAAAAUGAUAUGUUUUAUUCACCUCUUAACAGUAAUACGAGUAUUUUGUUUAUUUCCUACUCCCUUUUAGUGUUUACUGAUUAGUCACUCUUAAAGGUGAAUGCAUGUGUAUAAUAGGUGUGUCAUGGCUGCAUUUUGCGGCCCCUGACUACUGGAAAGUAAUCUCCUUUGGAUGAUUUGUAUUUUUUUCUGGAAUUUGUACUUAGAUAGCACAUCCAAGGAAGGAAGGAGAUUG